rnacentral:rRNA from 1 species
AUACGGAGGGUGCGAGCGUUAAUCGGAAUUACUGGGCGUAAAGCGCGCGUAGGCGGCUAAGUAAGUCGGAUGUGAAAGCCCUGGGCUCAACCUGGGAAUUGCAUUCGAUACUGCUUGACUAGAGUAUGGUAGAGGGAAGUGGAAUUUCCGGUGUAGCGGUGAAAUGCGUAGAUAUCGGAAGGAACACCAGUGGCGAAGGCGACUUCCUGGGCCAAUACUGACGCUGAGGUGCGAAAGCGUGGGGAGCAAACAGGAUUAGAAACCCCAGUAGUCC